CCUACGGGUGGCAGCAGUGAGGAAUAUUGGUCAAUGGACGAGAGUCUGAACCAGCCAAGUAGCGUGAAGGAUGACUGCCCUAUGGGUUGUAAACUUCUUUUAUAUGGGAAUAAAAUGUUCCACGUGUGUGAUUUUGUAUGUACCAUUUGAAUAAGGAUCGGCUAACUCCGUGCCAGCAGCCGCGGUAAUCCGGAGGAUCCGAGCGUUAUCCGGAUUUAUUGGGUUUAAAGGGAGCGUAGGUGGAUUGUUAAGUCAGUUGUGAAAGUUUGCGGCUCAACCGUAAAAUUGCAGUUGAAACUGGAAGUCUGGAGUACAGUAGAGGUGAGCGGAAUUCGUGGUGUAGCGGUGAAAUGCUUAGAUAUCACGAAGAACUCCGAUGGCGAAGGCAGUUCACUGGACUGCAACUGACACUGAGGCUCGAAAGUGUGGGUAUCAAACAGGAUUAGAUACCCGUGUAGUC
rnacentral:rRNA from 1 species